rnacentral:rRNA from 1 species
UCAACUUGAGAGUUUGAUCCUGGCUCAGAACGAACGCUGGCGGCAGGCCUAACACAUGCAAGUCGAGCGCACCUUCGGGUGAGCGGCGGACGGGUUAGUAACGCGUGGGAAUAUACCCAGAUCUACGGAAUAGCCUCGGGAAACUGAGAGUAAUACCGUAUACGCCCUUCGGGGGAAAGAUUUAUCGGA